UGCGCAGGCGGGCUUGUAAGUCAGUGGUGAAAUACUGCCGCUCAACGGUAGAACUGCCAUUGAUACUGCAAGUCUUGAAUAUGGUUGAGGUAGGCGGAAUGUGUCGUGUAGCGGUGAAAUGCAUAGAUAUGACACAGAACGCCAAUUGCGAAGGCAGCUUACUAAGCCAUUAUUGACGCUGAGGCACGAAAGCGUGGGGAGCGAACAGGAUUAGAUACCCUGGUAGUCC
rnacentral:rRNA from 1 species